rnacentral:tRNA from 1 species
CGCGGGGUGGAGCAGCCUGGUAGCUCGGAAGGCUCAUAACCUUCAGGUCCUGAGUUCAAAUCUCAGCCCCGCAA